rnacentral:sRNA from 1 species
CUAUGCCUCAUCCCCACACGGCAUAACAGCAACUCUGUCCCCUCUUUUCUCUCACGUGCGACGGAUCCUCCGGAUUUUCGAGCGAGGCGCGUGCCAUAAUGGAGCGGCAUUAUGCGUGAACCGAACCGAUCGCAAUCACGAUCACUGGUGUCUAUAAGACUUUGUAUUUAUACGCAUGUGCUGGUGCACAUGCAUGUGUUUGUAUGUAUCUUUUAUAUAUGUAUAUAUUUAGGUAUAUAAGCCAUGUAAACAGCUGCUCGAGGGCGGGGGCAUUGGCAAAUGAGCCAUUGAUUUAUUUAGAUAUAAUUUCCUCAUUGCUCUAUCUUUGCUUAUACAAACUGUGCGGCUGACAUAUUUGCAAAGGUCAAAAUUACAAUUUAAAUAUUGAAAUAUAUAAAAUUACAAAUAUUUAAAUAUUUUCUGAUUUCUUUUGUAUAACAAGUAUAUAAUAACUCAUUAUUAUUUUAUUAUACUAACAAGAAAAGCGAUAUAUAUAUACAUUUUCAGUUAUUUAGGCUAAUAAAAUGGAAUUUCCAAUCCAUUUAACUCAUUUCUGGAAAUUCUCAGCUAUAGCUUUUCAGAAUUCCGUUGAUUGUAAACACAAAUGAAUGCCAAAUUCCUCACAUCUCACUUCAUGGUUAACUUCAGUGUUUGCUCAGGUAAUUCUAUGUGCAUGCCCCAGACACACUUUGGCCAGAGUCUAACAUUCUUUUGGCCCUAAUACGGACCGGUAAGAGCUGGAGUAGUGGAAUGCCAACGAAUGGAUGGGAAGACCUGCUGCGUUCCGUUCAUCCAUCAGGCCGAAGUUGCUUGGCAUUGCUCAAUGCUCAGCUGGGUGGCCAACAACAUUAAUCAACAGAGUCGAAAGCAUGUAAACACGCUCACCGAAACCCAGUAGCUUUGGCUGGAGCUGAAACCAUGUUUGAGCCCAUAUACAUAGUACCAUGCGCCUAUCCAUCUGGAGAGUACACUAUUCCUAUGCUCCGCUGUCACUGAUUUUGGCCCUGACUCUAAUACUGCGGCUGUAACUGGAUUCGGGGCUGGAAAUGAGCCUACACUGAGGAAAAAAAUUCAAAAUUAGUUUGUAAUCCAAGAGAGAGUCAUCAAUAGUAGUGAAUAUGUAUAAUUUACAGAAAUUGAUUGCAUAUUUACAUACGAAAGGUAGAUUUUUCUCCACAUAAAUCGUUUGUUUUCAUACAAAUACCAACAGUUUUUUCUGCCAGUGCAUAUCUAGUUUGCAUUUGCAUAUGGCAGGGCGUGCAAAAUAUUUCAAAGCUUAUCAGCGCUGGGCAAACAACCAGCUAGAAAUGCUUCAGACCACGAUGAUGGCAACGGUGAUGGUGAUGGCGAUGAUGAUGAUGAUGGUGUGGGCCCAAACAGCAUAACUGCAUUAUAUAACCUUUUAAAUGCCUGUUCAAACAUUAAAUAUUGCAUUAUGCCAAGUUUAUCACCUUUUAGUCGAAGGCAGGGCAAAUAUUUGCCCGACUCAAAGUGGGUAGACCAUAUUCCCGUUCCCAAUCCCGUGUUUCCGUUGAGGAAGCGACCGAGAAAUGGAGCGAGCUGACGAUCCAAAUCCGGGUAAUGUAAUUGGAAGGCUAUGCCCGUCGUCGGACUGGAAAGCACAUGGUUCACCCGGAGGCAGUCGCCGGGCAGACAAAUAGACACCAGACAGGCAGUAAGUCAAACCUUAAUAGCAUCAAGUGAGCUUAUAUAAUUUCCGCACGCCAUUUUUACUCGCACUAUUAUGGCACUGGUGGAAAAUGGAAUAAGAAGUGGGCGCCUCAAAAUGGGCAAAAAUAGUGAUUUUAAGUAGGCUUACUAAAUUUAAGUAUGCAAGCUACAAAAUUUAGGAGAAAAACCUUCUACAGUAUGAUUUUAGUGACAAGGACCGUCAACUUUUCAAAAAUAUUUUCAAAAAAGAAAAUUUUUUGUCGACAAGCAAACUUAUUUCUCCGAGUACUGUCUUUUUAUUUAAAAAUUUAGAUUUCCCCCAGUGUUUUCGAAAUAACAAGCGAAAGAGUGGAGACCACAGAGACAACAAGCAAUUUUCAUAUUUUUGGCGCAACGAAAACGCAGGAAACGGGAAGCAGAGUCCAGAGAUGGCGAUAGAGACAGCAACAGGGGCGGGGAAAGAGACGGCGACAGUGGCGGAGAACAAAAGGACCAGAAGCCAUUGCCCAUGGCGGAAGAAAGUGGCAGAAUGGUUAGCAACUGGGAGUUGGGAUUCAGACGAGUGGCAGUGGAAAAAGCGAACUCUUGUCGCCCGACAACAUUAUUUCGGCUAUUUUGUAUACCCUUGUUGCCCUCUGGGGGCUUGUCGUUUACAUGCAUCGAUGAACUCUGACCUUAUAUACCACUCAGCAUGCCUAGUACUUGCAUUUGAUUCUGACUCUUAAAUAUUGGUCAUUGGUAACAAAAAAAAGGAAUUACAUUGAAAAAAUUGUCUAUUUUACUUCUCAAUGAUUUCUUACAAACUUUAGCUAGACUUUUUCGUUUAUUGCACAAACUGCAUAUAUUCCUAUAUUUAUUUAUUUGUUAUUACAAGUCUUGGCUAUGCCAACAGUCAAAAGAGUAUUUAAGUCACUUGCAUCCUGUUAUUUUUUUUUUCGUUUUUCCAGCUGUCAAACAUUUAGAAUACUUACUCUCGCAUUAUUUUUCUUUUCUGUAUUUUUAAAACAAGAAAUGGCGCUACCGAAGACAACAGCCAAGAGCAGCUGCGAGCUUUAUGUCGUCCCAUUGACGUUAUAAUCAAAAAUCAUAUGACGUUUUUCGCUGGCAUGCCACACCAUAUAGCAUAUAACCAAAGACAGCCAAAGUUCUUGGGGCAGAAAGUAGGAGGACAGCACAAAGGCACUGGCGUAGCCAAGUCCACAGCCAUCAAUGUAGGUCAGUCCGAAAAUAAAUUCAAGAAACGAAAUCAAGUAAAUAGACUCGCAUAAACAGGGGAAAGAAUGGUGAUUACAUCAAGUGAUGAACUAAAAGGAUACCGAAUUUGUAUGGCACAGAUAAUUAGUAGCUAUUCAGUUCGAAAAAUACAAACAGAAAUUACAAUAAAAUAUUAAAUUCUAAGCAGCAGCAGGGAACAUAUGUAUCCCAUGUUCCAAGAUCCUUUUUACAAAGUUAUUAAACCAAUUUAAAUAACAGUAGGUCCAGGCAUAUCCUAAUCUACAUCUGCUUAUAAUUUAUUUUAUUUUUUUAUUAAUUAACUCCUUAGUUGGAACCAACCCUCUGAAUUUGCUGGGUAUGAAAGCCGACUGACGCUGCCUGGCCAAGAAAAGCUCAUUGACGUUGUGUUGUCGCCGUCGCCAUCAUCGUCAUCGCCUCUGGUUGUUGAGGAAAAAUUGCAGGCACUCGUUCAGGAGCAAAGUUAGGGCCUGGAGGAAAGGGCAGAGCAGAGUGAAAGUUUUAUUGCCAGGGCGUGUAUACGCCGGUGGGUGUGGGCGUGACUGGGAGUGCAGCAAAUGGAUUAAGAGGCGCCGCAGCCGGCAGAAGUGGGAGUGGCAAAACCAGCAGCAGAAUCACAAGAAGCUGCAACUACUAAGACGACAAAUGCGUAAGCCUUGGAUCGCUUCUCCUUUUGGGCACACUUCUUAGCCGGAAGAGCUCUAUUCGACUGAGUGGCGAGGGCGAGGGAGGAUUGGGGGCCAUAAGGGGAACCAGCUCCAUAAACAAGUGUUGAUAGCAGAUUUCAAGCACGCUCCAUGCUGCAAGCCAAAGCAAAUCAACUGCUGAAAAGCAGCUUGCUUAAAUGGGAUUACACCGAAUUCUGUGGUUUUUCCCAUCCUGGGAAUUUCCGGAUGCUGCAAAAGCGGCAUUGAACACUUUUCAAUGAUUUGUCGUGUCGCGUGGUGCAACUUUCUUGCCUCGAUUGCCAUUUGUUGGACAACUGCAAAUUUAAUGCAAUGACAGCCAAACAAAUUGGCAAAUUUUCAAGCGGCAACGCGGCGUAUGCGUUAUUUUAUCCGAAGAAGGACAGCAGUCAGCCAGCAAAGUUUCCCCCCUUCAAACAAAGUGGGUAUCUGGUUUGUUUCAUUUCGACUUAAUUAAUUUUACAGAAGCCACGGGCCACAGGAAAAAGGGGUUUCUGGGUGGAGGGAUUUCGGAAAACCAAACAUGGAUCAUAUAAUUAAUCAAAGCGCUGUGUUGAUAGUUGCGGUGCUGCUGGGUUAGCGUUAGCUGCGGUAAUUACGCUCCACAGGAUUAUGCAUGGAGCAUUAAUCUGCGCAGCUUUCCCUACGAAGGAGCCCAACCCCUCAAUGACCGCCCCAAAUCCCCGUCCCCCUUUUUCUGUUUUAGCUUCGCUAAUUGAUAAGCUUCGCCUUGAUUUAAGCUGAAUUAAAACCAGUCUUUCAGCAAGUACUCUUGGUUUCCUUUGUGAUUGUAUUUUCGUUUGAAACUUUAUUUACUUUAAUUUUUGGAAAAAAUAACAGGGAUAUAAUAGGAGUAUUUUUUAACUAGUUGGAAUGUAAAAUUUAAUAACACAUUUUUUACAACUGGUUUGACAAAACUCUCCUCUAAGUACUUAAACGUCUAGCAAUUACUUGAAUUCAAUUUUAAGUUUACAUGUCCAAGCAAACACGCUAAUAGGCAAUGUUUUUGGCCAAAAAUACAACCGCCUUUCGAUUUAUCACGGACAACAUAGCAGCCACGCCCAGCGGCAACGCCUCCAGGAAACUCCCACCAUUUUCUCGCUCUAUUUUCCCUUUUACAACUCACGCAAACUUCCGGCUCAAAACUGACGGCCUUCCAGCGACAAAAUAAAAGCAGCAUAAAGCCGAAAAACAAAUGCAGUUGUGGUGCAACCGCCACCAGUAGAAUGGCAACAAACACGCCAUCGCUGCCAUCGGACAUUUGGGUCAGGAAUUGUGGGCACUUAAUCAGCACUAAACAGAACCACGCCCACGGGAGCAUAGUCCCGGGAAAUUGGGUCUGGGUUGAGCUUCUUCUGAUGGCGUGCACGCCACAGGACCUACAAAAAACAUCCUUGACCUUUUUAAUGCCAUUUAUUUUUUUUCGUGGGCCUGCCAUGUUGUGCUACAGGGUAGCAUUGUCAUGUACAACAUUUUCACGCGCGGGGGUGGGAGAAAUUAAACGAGAAGUGCGGGGGGGAACUAUGUUGAAAUGUCAUUAACGCCAGCAGCGAGAUUUCGCAGGUGAGUUGCCAACAAACGUGUCGCCACUGAGGCGUGGGAUGCUGCUCUACACUGCGCCAAAAGUUCCACAAAGUAUUUUUCUUUGCUAAAGCAAAUUAUUUUGAUUUUCGUUUUAAUUUCUCUCAGUGUAGUUGCUGGUUGCUGCAGCGCUUGGCGUGUUGAUUUAGUGGCAUAUUUUGCCAGAAAUGAGGCACAGACAUCAGAAGGCAGCGACUGAGGCAGCUGAGCCAGCUGAGGCGACAACCAAACGUCGUCUAAAUGUGCGCCAGUUGGCUGCAUUGCCAGCCUUGACCGAUAUUCGUGCGCUAAACACAAACACAAAGGCAUUAAGCAUACACAAACAGGCGAGAACACAUUGGCCAACACACACACACACACACACACACACACACACAUACACACCCCCACGGGUGUGACGAAAAAGUGGCAUAAAACUGAAAGAAAAUGGAAAAAUCUACGCCCGGUUUGUAUUCCCUAUUUGUGCAAAUCGAAAAAAGAAAGUUUUUCGUAUGAAACCUUAAAAUUUCAUAAUUCAUCUGCUACAACGCCUUCAACUUUAAGGACAAUAAUCAAUAUUUGUUGCAUUAAAUAUUUGCAAUGCAGCUGAUUGCUCGUUAAACCGACCGCAUUGUUACCAGAUUUUGCAAGGUAAUGGAGGUAUUAAAAUUUUAAAGCUUCUUUGCACUUUCAGAUCGAAAAAAAAAUCGAACAAUAAAAAGUGCCUAUAAAAUCCUCCCGCAGGAUGUGCAGCUUCCAGUCUUGCUAUUCAGAGGCGACUCUUAACCGAAAAUCUCUAUCGGAAAAUUCUCCAUCGCACAUACAUAUUUAAUGCACUCACUCACUCCCAGGCACACUUUCCUCACUCACACAUAGCCAUAAAGCGUUUUAACAAAUGGCAUCAAAUUGAUUUUGCCACGCUAAGCAUUUUAGGAUUUUCAGCGACAGAGACGCUUGCACUUUUCCACCCAUUUUCCUAAAAAACCGCAAGGCAAUGCCAAAAGUCUGCAGCUGUUUGAUUGUGUGUGUGUGCGAGUUUUGCAUAUUUGCUACACUGUUCAAAAUUGGGGGAAAGGGUAAGUGGAGGUGCAGGGCUCAGGAAAAGUUUUUACUCCCCCUUGGAAUCGUUGGCCCUUUUUAAAUUAUUUUAUUUAUACUUUUUAUGCCGCGCAGGGAAAGCCACAAUAUAACCCAUUUAGCCCUAUACAUAUGCACAUGUUUAUACAACUAUAUUUUACCUAUAUAUGUAUAUAUAUUUAUUUAUGUGUGCUGGUUGAGCUGGCACACAUAUGCGCAUCUUUUUUUGAUGAGCCUGCACGGCAAAGUGGCUGCAUUUUUACCCAGAUUUAAAAUGAUUGCAUAUGAUGGGAAGCUCGAAAAGGAGGAGAGUGGUGGCAACCCUGGCCGGGAUGUGCUCCUCUUUUCCCACCCAAUAUGUUGCGCUUUUUGGCGCCACCGCCUUUACCUGGUUCACUGAAGCAGCCAUUACGAUGAUGCCUCCACUUGCAGCACUACCAGCAGCACCCAUCAUGUGUUGGUUUCGCAAAUAGUUCUACAAACUGCGUAGUCCCCCGCUUUUUUGGUGUUAAGCCCCGAAUAGGUUGGCUUCUCCGGAUGGAAUGUAAAUAAAAUAUUUGCGGUCACAGUGACGGGACAAAAACCGUGACACAUGUACGUAAAUGAACUGCCGAGAUAUUUUCUCGAUCAGCCCAAAAAAAAGGUUUAAAAUGGCUUUUAAAACGAAGCUGGCAAGGCAGCAAUAAUUGGAAAAUCGUUAGCAUGAAUUUAUAAUAUUGUUGAAGUAUUUUCAUUGUUGCAGUUAGAAUCCCAUUUCCAUAAUAUCAAUAUUUCUAGAUUUCUUACUCCUUUCUCCUAUUCCUGUCGUAUUUUGAUGAAAUCAAUUACUUUUUGCAGAUAUCGCAGAAUGCAAAUCGAUUGAAAAUAUUGGACAAUGCCUUCAGGACCUCGUAUAGCAACGCUUCCCUUUCAUAACAACCUUUUGAGAUGCAUUUCGCUCAAUAUCCUUUCCGUUGCCAUCCAUCCACAUUACAAAUUCCAUUCGCGCGAUUCGCUGUAAUCCCCCUCUGGCCGAGGAGGAAACCCAUUUGGAGAAUCCACAAUAAAUACUUCUAAACGGUUCGGUUGAGAAGCAAAGCGAUUUUGUCCCACCCACGUGACCUCAACCCCCAGCAUUACUUAAUAAUGCGCAUAAAAAUGCAUUCCCAGCAUCAUCGGGUGGUCCACGUCCAGCAGUACACUGAGGUAAAAGGAUUUUCUUACUUUAAAGGGUUCCAAUUUGUUGUAGUUAUAGGAUAUGUAUAUAAAUUGGAUUUAUUUUGUGAUAUAUGCUACUUUCUUAUUAAGCUAUUGCUUGUUUCUUUCAGUGUAUUUGGCAAGACAAGGCACUGACAAAUGUGUGUGUGAAGAGAGAAUGGCAAGGAGGCGAGCGGAAUUCAAUCCAGCUCCUUGAACUUUAUGGCCAGGAUAAAAGCAACAAAAGACAUGGCCCCCACAAAGGCAUGUCGAUGGCUGGCUGCACAUCCCUUCCAGCUUUCAUCCGAAUGCAUCCAGACAAACAAACACCCGCAAACGCAAACACACCUCCUCCGUGCAAACAGCUCAGCGGAGCGACAUGCAUUCUCCUUCUUUACCGCUCGACUGACAACGGACAGCGGCAAAGUGCAUUAAGACCUACAUACAUACAUUCGUUACGUAACCGAAUAUGAAAGUUCCCAUUACCGAAGCAGAAAAUUAUUAUUGUUUCAUCAAAUUGAAAGCGCACUUUGUGUGCUAUCUUAAGCAGACUUACAUAACUAGUUUACAGGAGAAAUAUUUCUAUGUUAUUUAUAAAACUCAUUCCAUGACCCAAUUGAUUUGAAAAACAGAAAUACCCCGUUUCAGCAAAACCAUCAGAAUCUACAGGGGAAUUUAUGUGUGGCUAUGUACAUGCAUACAUCGUGGGUAACAUUGCGGAUUUCAUUAAGCUCACAAGCAGCAGGUGAUUCAGGUAAAAGCGGGACAACGAAGAAAGGCGGUAAAUUCCGGGGGGGAAAUGGAGCAGUUGGAAGAGUUUGGAGCAGCUACUCAAGUCGACAGCAACUCCCAGCGGCACCUCAAUGAGCUAACAAAGUGCAAAGGCUGCCAGGUGAAAGAUCCUCUGGAGAACUAGAUACUUGCUGGAGAAGGACAGAUGGCAUGGCUCCAGAGUGUGUUUGUUUUCAUGCUUCUUUUGUUUGUCUGGAUGGGUUUUUGGCUGGGGCUGGGGAUGAUUGCAAUGUGGAAUGCAAAGUGCAUUCUUUCCACUGCAAUAUUUAACAAAAAAUAUAUUUUCUACAAGUAACAUUUCUCUAGCCCGUAAGUGGGUCAGCCAUUUGCCAAACCCACCCCCCCAUCCCCCAUCAACCCGAUAUAUGUGCUCAGAAAUUCAAUUUAUUUGAAGAGCAGCAGGAGCAAGAAAUAAAAGGAGGAGGGAGGGAGUGAGGUCUAAAAAAAAACUUUGGCGUUGGCCAAACAAAAUUCACUUUGAGCAAAUCAAAUUAAAAUCAAUUAAAAUUAACAAGCAGGCAGCCGGCAAAACGAAAGCUCCCUUAAUACCCAACCACCCACACCAGUUUGACCCACUGACUAACAGACCACCGCCCAUCGCUUUACACUCGAAGAAAAAACUAGACAAUCAUAGGCAAUAAAAAUUUAUUAAAAUUAUAUGACUGUAUCCUUUCAGCCUGUUGCCUUAUAUGGACUGCUCCAUUUUAAACUCCUAAUUUAAGGUGUUACUCUUACCAAAUUGUUUUCAGUGCACGCCACCGCAGCGCAGCGAAAUACCGACCGCAUGAAUCAUGCAUUUUUCGCCUUUCGCCAGGGCGCUCUUCUUUCUCACCUCUUGUUUUCUGCAUUUGUUGCUGCGGCGGUUAAGGUGCGGCAUUAAGUAAAUUGAGUCGCCGCACGUCCCCCUGAAAAUUCGUUGAUAAGCGCAGACUUUUAGGCAACUCAGCCCCACCGCCGAGAACAACAACCGACAAUUCAAAAAACAACGCCGAGUAAAUGACACGGCCAAAAUGGGGAAAAGGUAAGAAAGAGACUGGCAGUACAUUAUGUAUGAGCGAGUCCAGGUGAGCUGCUCGAUUGUUUGCAAAUAUUUACACCAUCUUAUCGGCACGUACAAAUGUUCACACAUAUUCACCGAAAGUCAAUUUCGUGCACUGGAAAAAGCAUCCCCAUCUUAGGAUCUGAAAAUAGGAUACCUUUCUUUUACCUUCAUUAUAACUAUUUUAGGAAUGUUUUUCAAAUUGGAAGAGGGUGCAAGCUGUUUAACUAAGGUUAAAGAGACUAAUACCCUAUAAGAUAUCCCGUAUCUUAUCAUAUAUGUUUAUGAUAAGUGAGUUUCCAAGCUCUGAAAUAAGUUUGGAAUUUUGUAUGAUAAAAAACGUACGUUUUUUAUUAGUAGUACUCGGUUUAUAUGUUAUUGCUACAGCAUUAUAAUAUGAAAAAUCAUGUUGUAAUAUUUUCCAAAUUUCUGAUUAUAUUUUCUAAUGUCGUUUUUUGCAGUGCACCUGCUUUCUGAUCGACCGUAGGCUUUCUCCGCUUCGCCGAGGAGCAUGAAAUGAGUAGAGCGCUUGCUGAGUUGAGUUGAGUCACCGGGGCGCUUUUAACGGGCCCACUCACCUGGCGCGGCCCACUCACUCACACUCACAUCCACACUCUCGAAUUGAAGGUGUUGAUCAGCGCAGCGCCAACUGAUAGUUGGAUGCUCGUAGAUAAAAUGAAGCGAGCGGCGUCGAUUAAUUGGGAACGUGCUGCGGACUGGCGACUGGCGCCACCUAGCGGCGCAACUGAGCCGUAACCGAGUGGUCUAGCCAAAAUAACUAGCAAGAAAUUAAAUGCCGCUCGACACACUCAA